AUGGCUGCUCUAAAACGCCUUGGUGUAAACAACCCAGGGAAGGACUUCCUUGAACUGCCAGUUACCUGAGUGCGAUCCAUCUCACUAAAGCGUCUGCUCCGAGAGGGGUAGUAUCACCAGGAAAGAAAACAAAUAAAAGACACCCAGCAUGUUGCAGUGCAGGCACAGGCCGGGGAAUGCUGUCCCCUUGAGGGGGUGAGGGAUCCUCAACACGGUUUUGAAACACCCAUCUUCUGGCAACAACUCCAUGGAAAACGAUGUGCUGAACACAAGCAAAUCACAGGUGGAAAGUGAAGACACAAUGUUGCACCCACACAGUUGCGCAAAAAUAAUGCAAAUGUACACACUAAACAGUGUUAUAUACAAUGGAGCCAAACCUUCUGGCAAAAGAAUGUACAUUUUAUAACGAAA